UACGUAGGGUGCGAGCGUUGUCCGGAAUUACUGGGCGUAAAGCGUGCGCAGGCGGUUUGGUAAGACAGAGGUGAAAUCCCCGGGCUCAACCUGGGAAUGGCCUUUGUGACUGCCCGGCUAGAGUGUGUCAGAGGGGGGUAGAAUUCCACGUGUAGCAGUGAAAUGCGUAGAGAUGUGGAGGAAUACCGAUGGCGAAGGCAGCCCCCUGGGAUAACACUGACGCUCAUGCACGAAAGCGUGGGGAGCAAACAGG
rnacentral:rRNA from 1 species